AACGAACGCUGGCGGCAUGCCUAACACAUGCAAGUCGAACGAGACCUUCGGGUCUAGUGGCGCACGGGUGCGUAACGCGUGGGAACCUGCCCUUAGGUUCGGAAUAACUCCCCGAAAGGGGUGCUAAUACCGGAUAAUGUCCUCGGACCAAAGAUUUAUCGCCUUUGGAUGGGCCCGCGUUGGAUUAGCUAGUUGGUAGGGUAAAAGCCUACCAAGGCGACGAUCCAUAGCUGGUCUGAGAGGAUGAUCAGCCACACUGGGACUGAGACACGGCCCAGACUCCUACGGGAGGCAGCAGCGGGGAAUAUUGGACAAUGGGCGAAAGCCUGAUCCAGCAAUGCCGCGUGAGUGAUGAAGGCCUUAGGGUUGUAAAGCUCUUUUACCCGGGAUGAUAAUGACAGUACCGGGAGAAUAAGCUCCGGCUAACUCCGUG
rnacentral:rRNA from 1 species